UUAAUUGAAACCAAAACUAAGAGGUAUAUCACUGUUAAUGAUACAAUUGAAAAUCUUCCAAUUAAG
rnacentral:tRNA from 1 species